GCAUCAGACGCCAAAUUGGUCAGGCAGCAGCCUGUAAAGCUGUGGCUCUCGAAGCGUGGAGGUUCGACUCCUCCCUGAUGCA
rnacentral:tRNA from 1 species